rnacentral:rRNA from 1 species
UACAGAGGUCUCAAGCGUUGUUCGGAUUCAUUGGGCGUAAAGGGUGCGUAGGUGGCGAUGUAAGUCUAGUGUGAAGUCUCGGAGCUUAACUCCGAAACUGCACCGGAUACUGCGUCGCUUGAGGAUUGUAGAGGAGAGUGGAAUUCACGGUGUAGCAGUGAAAUGCGUAGAUAUCGUGAGGAAGACCAGUUGCGAAGGCGACUCUCUGGGCAAUUCCUGACACUGAGGCACGAAGGCCAGGGGAGCAAACGGG